ensembl:lncRNA
CCCCCCCCCCCCCCCCCCCCCCCCCCCCCCCCCCCCCCCCCCCCCCCCCCCCCCCCCCGGGGCAGCCCGGCGGCCGGGCACCGUGCGCGGCGGGGCCACGCUUCCAGCACGCUGCUCGCACGGACACCGCCCCGCCGCGCCGGUAUGUGCCCGGCUCCAUCCCCCGGGGCCGGCGGGGAGCGGGGAUGCGCGGCCGCACCCGCGGGGCGAGCCGGGCACGGGCAGCGCUGGCCUGCGGCCGCCUGGGGCUCCUGUGGUGCGGGCGAGCGGGGAGAGAGAGCCCUGCUUUGAGGUGGGGUUUUUCAGGACGGGCGGCGGUGCUGCUUUACUCCUCCCAUCAUCUCGCAGCGAGGUUGCCGGCCACGGACUCCUCCGAACUGGGCGAAGCGGAGGUGCCGCUCCCGCCGGGCACCCUGAGGAAAGGUGCUGCUACGGACAGCAGUGAGAGUGAUGCGGAGUGGGAAGAUUUCCUCAGAAGAAGCACAAAAGGAGAUGCUCUGUUCUUUGAAAAUAACUGGAGGCACUGGCAAGAAGCAGCAACACCGCAUCGAACAAGGGAACCGCUUCCAGGUUAUCCAAACAUGCUGUUGAACUGAAUUUUGCAGCUGCGUUUUCCAAUGUACCAUGGGAUGCAUCAAAUCCAAGGCUGCCUUCCAAGGUUCCAACGCCGUGCAGGAUGAGAGGGUGGGGGCAGGAGGCACGGGGUGCUCCGGGGAGAAGUCGUCGCUGCUGGCGGUGAAGGCGGAGGAGAGGGGCCCCUCGAGCACCCUCGUGCUGGACUACGCGCAGCGGCUGUCGCGGGACAUCCUGGAGCAGGCGGUCCGGCAGUGGGCGGUGACCGAGAGCAAGUACAGCGACAUCCCCUUCAUCGAGAGCGACGUGCCCUGAGCCCUGCCCAGCCUGGCCCGGCCCUGUGCGCGCUGCCAGGGCACAGGAAGCGCCCCCAGCUCUCUCUGAGCAUCACUGCGGGGAGAGCCUCAGAAAAUUUGCCUUUAAACGUAGAUUGCUAACAAACUACUUGGAUCGCAGUAGAGCCUGCUCAUAAAGUUAUUUGUUGUCAGCCAUGUGUUGAGUAUACAUAGAGUAUCAUGCUCUGUCUUUGUAUGUGUUGGAUGUGACCAGAAAUUAGCAUUAAAAAGACGAUGGGAAGACUGUGGCUGCCCUGCACCUCUACAAGCACUGCCACAGAGGACAAAACGUGGAUUAUUUCUAUGUUCUGCAUAAAAGAUCACUGGUCUGUCUGUAGGUGAGAUGAACUCUGUGCUUGGUGAAUUUGUCCGUGUUUUGCUGAAGUGAAAUCGAGGUCUGCAUGUAGCAAAGGUUACUGCUAUCAUAAAUUUUACUUUUGAUUCUGUGACCUAACUAAAUCUGUAAAACCACAAAAUAAUGAAGGUGAUGAGAGACUCUUCGUAAAGCCCAGUAGUAUUCAGAACCAUUUGGAUGAUGAUGUUAUUCACCUUCCAUUGAAGUGAGCCAGUGAGAAACAUGCCAGUGUUGAUAAGCAGUGCAUUAUCAUUAACAGAUGCUUCUGUAAAUGCAUGAAAGCUUGUCUCUAAAACCCUGCAGUAAGAUAGGUUAAUGACAUCUGGUGUGUUCAGACCAAAGCUGUUUGGUUUUUUUUGGUUUUGUUUGGGGUUGUUUUGUGUUAGGGUGCUGGUUUGGGAGGAUUUGGUUUUGUUGUUUUACUGUAACCCAGAGAGAUGUGCAAAAACUACUGAUGGUAACUAGUGAAAGCAACCUUCAAAGAUGUGGCAGUGCUUCAGGACAAUUUGUUUCAUGGGAGCUGUGGUAGCAUUACACUGAAAUUCCUCUCUGAAGUACCACCCUUGGGACAGGACGUCUUCCUUCAGCUUCUGUAGGCUGCUGCUUCCCCACUGGAAAACCUGUUCAUGGCAAUGCCAGCAGGAUCCAUAGGAGCCCUGGCCCUGGCAGUGCUCUGAAUGCAGAGUUAGGGACUGAGCCUUGGGCCCAAAGCUCAAGGGCUGCAUUUGUCCCCCAGUGCAUCGACACACUGCUCCCUGCUUGCCCAGGACUGGCAGCCUGACCCACUGCACUCAAGGCUGGCGUUUGACAGAUCAGAACAGGGAUGCAUUAUUCCUAUUCAUCCCAAAGGUACAAUGUUACUGAUGUUUUAUACAAAGUGAAGGCCUUCUAACAGCUCGGCUUUUACCACCUAUUUGUUCUUUUUUCUGUGAAGCCCAGUUUAAAAGACAUAGUUCCUUUUACUAGAUCAAAAUGCUUUCUAUUUUGUUUUCAUUUUAUAGAGAAUUGCUUUCCAUACUGGCUAAAGCUGUUACUAUUUUUAAAUGGAACACAUAGUUCUAGUAAAUGAUCCAAAGCAUGAUUUUUCAAGCAAUGGGCAGCAAGCAGAAAGAGGACCAUGUCAAAUGCUGAUUUUAGCUUAUUCUCUGGCAUAAGAUAGUCUAUGAAUUGAGCUGUUUUGCAAAUGUUGUGACACAAACUUAGGUAUUUGAAAUUCACCAUACCGGGCAGUGGUUUUAUCAGGAAUAAAGGGUGAAAAAUGUUUCUCUGUGACAACAGCACAAGGCUGGCAUUAAAUCCCAGUGACCAGACUGGAUUCCCAGUGACCCGUAUUAACUGUUUUUAGGCUUUUACUGGAAAAGGGAACGAAAUCAGCUCAUAAGCUGUAAUGUCGUCCUCUUUGAAGUUACGUAGUUGUCUUCAAAGCCAUUUGCAAAAUGGAACUAAAGUUUUAUGGUUUACUUAAAUACUCCUGCUAAGUGAUGUUCCUUCAACUUCUACAGCAUAUGAAACAUUAGAUCAUACUCUGUUUGCUCUAAAAUACCUCCAUAUAUUAGUGUGAGUUAGAAAGCAACGCCAAAACACUGAUCAAGUCAGUUCGUAUCAACUGGAUAUUGCUUAACCACAGUAUUAAAAAAGAUUCCUAUUAUUCUAGCUAAAAUAAAGCUUUAUUACAAGAAAAAAGAAAAAAAGGGCCAACCUUUCUAACAUCAGUGUGGGCUCAUGUUAACACUGCUAAUUACAGUAAUUAAUAAUAAAGAAGCCAAAGCUCCAGAGCCAUUGUUGGCCAGGCAGGUGAGAAGCAGAAAACUGCACUCACUGUCAGAGCACCUUGAGGUGGAUCUGCCCUGGCCCUUGUACAAGGCAAGCACGGGUGUUGCAGUGCUUCCUGUUGCCAUGUCUCAAAUCCUUCCUCUGGAUGUAGCCUUAGCAUCUGAUACUCUUCAGGAAUAUCAGAUGCACUUUUGAAAGCAGCUCCCGUUGGCUGGCUGCCACCGCACGGUCCAACACAGGCAGAGUUAUAAAACAGCCCAGGGCUCCACCACAGCAUCCCUUGUGAUCAGCACUGGGCAUUUCCCCAGAGGAG